GCCUUAGUGGUGGAAUUGGCAGACACACCAGGUUUAGGUCCUGGCGUCCGAAAGGCAAUUGGGAGUUCGAGUCUCCCCUGAGGUACCA
rnacentral:tRNA from 1 species